rnacentral:rRNA from 1 species
AUUGAACGCUGGCGGCAGGCCUAACACAUGCAAGUCGAGCGGUUGACGGGAGCUUGCUCCCUGAUUCAGCGGCGGACGGGUGAGUAAUGCCUAGGAAUCUGCCUAUUAGUGGGGGACAACGUUUCGAAAGGAACGCUAAUACCGCGUACGUCCUACGGGAGAAAGCAGGGGACCUUCGGGCCUUGCGCUAAUAGAUGAGCCUAGGUCGGAUUAGCUUGUUGGUGAGGUAAUGGCUCACCAAGGCGACGAUCCGUAACUGGCCUGAGAGGAUGAUCAGUCACACUGGAACUGAGACACGGUCCAGACUCCUACGGGAGGCAGCAGUGGGGAAUAUUGGACAAUGGGCGAAAGCCUGAUUCAGCCAUGCCGCGUGUGUGAAGAAGGUCUUCGGAUUGUAAAGCACUUUAAGUUGGGAGGAAGGGUUGUAGAUUAAUACUCUGCAAUUUUGACGUUACCGACAGAAUAAGCACCGGCUAACUCUGUGCCAGCCGCCGCCGUAA